rnacentral:rRNA from 1 species
GACUCGUCACACUAUCAUUAACUGAAUCCAUAGGUUAAUGAGGCGAACCGGGGGAACUGAAACAUCUAAGUACCCCGAGGAAAAGAAAUCAACCGAGAUUCCCCCAGUAGCGGCGAGCGAACGGGGAGGAGCCCAGAGCCUGAAUCAGCAUGUGUGUUAGUGGAAGCGUCUGGAAAGGCGCGCGAUACAGGGUGACAGCCCCGUACACAAAAGCGCAUGUGCUGUGAGCUCGAUGAGUAGGGCGGGACACGUGGUAUCCU